CCCCUAUGACAUCAUGUGUUAAUCUCAUCUCAGGACUGCAACCCAAGAUUGCAGUGAGUGGGAAGAUACAAUUUUUACAGCAUCACCAACAAGGAUAAGGUUAUUUGGCAAACACAUUUUGAGUUUCUCAGCUGAGCCAAAGGAAAUCAAGAAAUCUCCUGGAAUCAAGGAAAUCAAGGAAUCAAUUACUUACACCAUGCUGAGCAAGAGACAACAUGAAGGCAGAGGUAACAGUAAUCAGAC
rnacentral:lncRNA from 1 species